CCUACGGGUGGCUGCAGUAGGGAAUAUUGGUCAAUGGGCGCAAGCCUGAACCAGCCAUGCCGCGUGCAGGAAGACUGCCCUAUGGGUUGUAAACUGCUUUUGUCAGGGAAGAAACCUCCGUACGUGUACGGAGCUGACGGUACCUGAAGAAUAAGGAUCGGCUAACUUCGUGCCAGCAGCCGCGGUAAGACGAAGGAUCCAAGCGUUGUCCGGAUUUACUGGGUUUAAAGGGUGCGUAGGCGGAUAAAUAAGUCAGAGGUGAAAGCCUGCAGCUC
rnacentral:rRNA from 1 species